UACGUAGGGAGCAAGCGUUGUCCGGAAUCAUUGGGCGUAAAGCGCGCGUAGGUGGCCAUUUAAGUCCGCUGUGAAAGUCAAAGGCUCAACCUUUGAAAGCCGAUGGAUACUGCGGAGCUAGAGUACGGAAGAGGCGAGUGGAAUUCCUGGUGUAGCGGUGGAAUGCGCAGAUAUCAGGAGGAACACCAAUAGCGAAGGCAGCUCGCUGGGACGUUACUGACACUGAGGCGCGAAAGCGUGGGGAGCGAACAGG
rnacentral:rRNA from 1 species